CACCAGACCACAAACGUGGGUGUUGAUUCUAAGGAUACCCCCAAUAAACAUCUUUCGUGCUAAAGCCCAUUCCAGAAUUUACUUCCCAGCUAUCUUUGAUGUUCAUAUUGUCAGAGGUGGUGGCCGCUGAAACAGGCAAAGACAUGGAGCAUAUCUUGGGUCCAGGUAAAGGAGGUGGGUGCACACAAGUGAAAAGAUGUUGCUGAAGUCACGUGGCUUCAAGCAGUAGAGCUGACUGUCCUCUAGUCCAGUUGUCCCUACAGGAUAAAAGCUUCUCUCCAUUACAGAGACCUUGGGAGUCCAGAGGAAGGUCUUUUUACCAUCAGCAUUCUCUACUGUGUUCAAUGACUGUCAGCCAAAGAUGGCCAGCUUUCCUUCAGAAAGAAAUGCAUUCAAAGAACCUACAUUCACAACAUAAAGAAAUAAAGCACACACAAGACCGCCAAGCAUUAAGAUUCUCCUGUGGAGCCAGGCUACAAUCCUUUAAAUGAAGACAGACAGCUAGGUGGCUGCAGCCCAGCGCUACACCUCACCCCUCCCUCAGUGUCAUGCAGAAAAAAUGUAUUCAGAACUCAGAAGUGAAGUUGUGCAAAUCCAUCAUUGACACUAGCUUCAAGGUUACCUCGGGGGAGCAGAAUGUACCCCUGCCAGAGAGCUGGAUAGAUGAUGAUGGGGACAGAAAUUCUGGGGGAGUUGUAAAUGGCAGCCACUGCCUCUAUAGGAAACCCAAAGGGAACACAGCAGAAGAGGAGGUGGUGGAGGAGCCACUGCCCUCUCGAAGGGUUCAAUGUCAUUCUGCAGACACAACCAAAUAACUUUUUCUUCCCUGCUGCUCCUCCAUUUG
rnacentral:lncRNA from 1 species